AGCGAACGCUGGCGGCAGGCCUAACACAUGCAAGUCGAACGGACCCUUCGGGGUUAGUGGCGGACGGGCGAGUAACACGUGGGAACGUGCCUUUAGGUUCGGAAUAGCUCCUGGAAACGGGCGGUAAUGCCGAAUGUGCCCUUCGGGGGAAAGAUUUAUCGCCUUUAGAGCGGCCCGCGUCCGAUUAGCUAGUUGGGAAGGUAAUGGCUCACCAAGGCGACGAGCAGUAGCUGGUCUGAGAGGAUGACCAGCCACAUUGGGACUGAGACACGGCCCAAGCUCCUACGGGAGGCAGCAAUGGGGAAUCUUGCGCAAUGGGCGAAAGCCUGACGCAGCCAUGCCGCGUGGAUGAUGAAGGUCUUAGGAUUGUAAAAUCCUUUCACCGGUGAAGAUAAUGACUGUAGCCGGAGAAGAAGCCCCGGCUAACUUCGUGCCAGCAGCCGCUGUAACAC
rnacentral:rRNA from 1 species